CUCAUCACUUAGUUUUAAUUUACUUUUUUUUUUUUUUUAAUCGGAACUUUGCAGUGGAACAAGGUCUUGUUGACAUAAAUCAGCAAGCUAACAUAAUCCAACCAGUACGGGGGUGGACGACAUGAAGAAAAUGUUAAACAGUUGUUGAAUCAAAUCGACCUGAUAAUGGCGCAGCGAGGCCCAUACAAGAAGUAUCUUUUGGACGUGGAGGCCGAGAUGCCUGCAACUACCAAAAGGCGCAGGUUGCAGGCAAAAGAUGCCCAAACAAUACAUGGCGACAUAUGUUCUGAAAUGGAAUCUCAGGUUUGUGUGAUUUAAUUUAUAUAAGAAGUUACUAAACUAAAAAAAGUAAUUUUGAUUUUAGUAAAAUUUACUUUUAAGGCAAAUAAACAGAAACACCUGUUAAUCGUUAGUUAUAAUGUACAUUUUAAAGAGUCAAGUAUGUGGUCUUUGAAUCAUUUUUACAA